rnacentral:rRNA from 1 species
UACGGAGGAUGCAAGCGUUAUCCGGAUUUAUUGGGUUUAAAGGGUGCGUAGGCGGCCUGCCAAGUCAGCGGUAAAAUUGCGGGGCUCAACCCCGUACAGCCGUUGAAACUGCCGGGCUCGAGUGGGCGAGAAGUAUGCGGAAUGCGUGGUGUAGCGGUGAAAUGCAUAGAUAUCACGCAGAACCCCGAUUGCGAAGGCAGCAUACCGGCGCCCUACUGACGCUGAGGCACGAAAGUGCGGGGAUCAAACAGG